rnacentral:lncRNA from 1 species
AGCUACUUGGGAGGCUGAGGUACAAAAAUCGCUUGAACCCAAGAGGCAAAGGUUGCAGUGAGCCGAGAUCACACCACUGCACUCCAGCCUGCGCGACAAAGCCAGCCUCCAUCUCAAAACAAAUAAACAAACCAACAAAAAGAAACAAUGGGGACCUCAGUUUGUGGGACAUUAUUACUUGCUGAGCUGAGAAGCUUCUCUUGGCCAGAGGAUCUAGUGACUUUCCCAAAUACCUCCUUUCUCCCAUUUCUCUAACAGGGAAAAAAGCUGGAUUCACUGAGAAGUGUCUAAAGCAGUUGUGCUGUUGAGAUAAAGCAGGAUCUGAAUUUCGAAUUGCUCAUCUCUCACACAGAUAUUACUUCAAAUGGACACAAUGAAAUAUUACUCAAAAUAUUUCUCGACUGAAAACUGGAAAUAUACAGAAUAUGUAUAUUGUUUUUAAGGCCAAAUCAUCUCAAGGAAUUUUAUGACAGAUUUGUCAGUGUGAAAUUUACAUUGGAUGGAGGAGGAAACCUUUUAGAAUAGGCCUACAGGAGACUUCGGUAACUCCCUUUCUUGGGUUCUUUAAAAUAUAUACAUCUUUCCUACAACACUUACACUUGCUUGAAAUCAGAGUUUAGGUUAGGAUUUAGCUGCAAGUGUCAACUUGCAAGAUUAAACAUUUUAGGGGACCUCCAGUCAAAGAUAAACUGCUGGAAGGGAGAAGAGCGGGAGAAGGGAAAAAUAAAAGAGCCAGUGCUCCCUCUAGUGGGGAAUUGUGGAGAAGCAUGCAGAGAUUCUUGGUGCCCUUGAUGCUCAAAAGCUGGAGGAUGUUCUCUGCUUGCUAAUUUUUGUUUUUUCUUUUAUUUUCUUUUUUUUUUUUUUUGAGACAGAGUCUCACUCUGUUGCCCAGGCUGGAGUGCAGUGGUGGGCAAUCUCAGCUCACUGCAACCUCAGCCUCUUGGGUUCAAGCGAUUCUCCUCCUGCCUUAACCUUCCGAGUAGCUGGGAUUAUAGGCGCAUGCCACCACCCGGCUAAUUUUUGUAUUUUUAGUAGAGACGGGGUUUCACCAUAUUGGCCAGGCUGGUCUUGAACUCCUGACCUCAAGUGAUCCAUCCACCUGCCUCGGCCUCCCAAAGUGCUAAGAUUACAGGCGUGAACCACAGUGCCCAGCCUCUGCUUAUUAAAGUCUAAUUGCUGACUAGAACACUCCAACUGUCUCACCAAAGAGCAAAUUAGAGCUCCAACACAAAUGAGUGACAAAAAGAAUUACUGUCUUCUUCCAUUCAGGAGUGUCAGUUGAUG